rnacentral:rRNA from 1 species
AGCAGCUGCGGUAAUUCCAGUUCCAAUAGCGUAUAUUAAAGUUGUUGCAAUUAAAAGCUCGUAGUUGAAUUUCAGGAUCGAUAUGUCGGUCAUACCUUCGGUACGUACUGACAUUUAUCGAUUUCUCCCUUCUGACGAUUCAUGAUACUGUAUCAUUAAUUUGGUGUUAUGGGGAAUCAGGACUAUUACUUUGAAAAAAUUAGAGUGUUUAAAACAGGUAUUAGCUUGAAUACAUUAGCAUGGAAUAAUGAAAUAGGACGUUCGAAUCUAUUUUGUUGGUUUCUAGGAUUAACGUAAUGAUUAAUAGGAUAGUUGGGGGCGAUUAGUAUUCAAUUAUCAGAGGUGAAAUUCUUGGAUUUAUUGAAGACUAACUACUGCGAAAGCAUUUGUCAAGGAUGUUUUCUAUUAAUCAAGAACGAAAGUUAGGGAUCAAAGACGAUCAGAUACCAUCGUAGUCUUAACCAUAAACUAUGCUGACUAAGGGAUCAGAUGAUGUUAAUUUUUUAAAUGUA